UUAAAAAUAUAAUUUCUAGAUUGAGUAAUGUAUAGGGGGAGGAAAGUAGAGAACGUACAACUGGAACUUGACGCAGCUAGCUGGGAACAAGCGUCAGUUUCGGUAAACAGCUCCAUGCUAUUGUUUUAACCAAAUCAAGUGUGGAUCAGGGUAGAAGCGUAGGUAUGAUUUAAGAUAGUAACUAAGGAAUAGGAUAAUCAGUAUCUAGGGGUGGGGGUUAGUUAACAUGUGUAUAAUUUAAACUAUAAAAAUCACGAAUCGACUCUGUAUGCUUUGGACAUCAGAUUUGGGUGUAUUAUCACCCCGGUGUCCCGCGCGCUGGAAUAAAGAACCGCAUAUGAUCGCCUCUGUGUGGUUAUAUGUUUUCCUACGCUAACACACAGAGUCUGCCAACAGCCUGGGGAGACCUCCCCGGGCUCCAGCCUAAGGAGUCAGGGUGCAUCUGGAAAACUGCCUCAUCCCCAAAGAGCAGUUCUCUGGGAUGGGAAAGGACUGACCCAAGUCUUCUGGUAAAACCUGGUGGAGUUGGGGCCUGCAGUCUGUGCUCCUGCAGCUGUGGGACACCAGGUGCUGCAGGUGGUGGUGGUGGAGCUGAUUGUGGAGGUGGAGGUGAUCUCCAGGGUGAGGGUGGCUGUGCUGGGAGCUCUGUGGGUCACUGGGUUGUGUGGGGAGCCUGAGCCUGCACAGGGAACUGUGAGGAUUUGCAGAGCCUUUGGAUCCUUGCUGGUGCAUCCUGACAAAGUGUGGUGUUUCCUCAUUACCAUCAAGAAAGAAGAAGUUGAUCAUCUAUGAAUAACUAAUUUACACUGUAAUCACAAAGCUGCAGCAGAUUGCAAAUCGUGAUUCAACAACCUAAAGGUACCCAUAGGUCUCAGCAGUUUGGAUGGCCCAAAUCUUGCCCAUAAACUCAAGCCAGAAUGAAUCAAAGAGCAACUCAGCAAUCUGUGUGGGAUAAUCAAGACUUGGCCGGGUGUUCAAUACAGGGAUGAAGAAUUUUAUGUCUUCCCUUUAUAAUUGGCAUGCAUUUCCUUGGGCUUGACCGAAAAAGAGGAAAAAGCCUUCUGAAGCCACUAAAUCAUGUAACUCGAAGAAAAGGAAGCUCCACAGGAACUGGACAUGAAGAAAAAAACCCAAAACCCAGCACAUUUACUUUACGUAGGAUAAAAGAUGGUUGUGCUUUCAGGCGUAAGAUAUCCAGUCAGUGGUAAGGCUUAGAAAGACACAUUUUUGUUGUUCAAAUAUGGUCACUGCAGCCUGGAUAUAAAGAAGGACCUGACAGUGACCAUUGCCAUCAGCAGGAUGACAAGGAGAUAUUGUGGUCUUUAAGAAGGCCUGAAAAUUAUUAAAGCAUUUGCUCUGUGCUGUUGGCAAACCUACUAUAACCAUGGCAUUAAUUCUAGAUCAGAUUUAACAGUGCCCCUUUACUCCAGUCUGGGCUCUCAGUUCAACCCUGUGAUCCUGAAUAGGAAAGAAAGUAUUAUUUUAUUGGUUGGAAGCUGGAUUCUUUCUCUGGAACACAACCUGGAGGUCAAGAGAAACAGUAACUUGAAUGUUUGUGUGUGACAUAUGCCAGUCAGAGAUUUGGAGUAGUUGCUGACUGCAUUCUGAGAGGGGAGCCUGCGCUGGGUGGGUGGCUGCAGAAAAAGAAGUGGUCUGAUAAAUAGGCUAGCACAGGGUAAAUGGAGAAACACAGAGGUGCAGGCCUGGAGAAAUGCAACAAACUCAUUGUUGUUGUUGUUAAAAAGAUAAUGUUUCUGAGAUUAGAAAUAUGGUGAUAUAUUAAGUGCUUAAUUAAUCAAUUUGAAGAUUUACAACCAGAAAUGUCAUCCCCGGAUAUUUGAAAAUAAAAGCACAUUUCGCAAUCCUAUGAAUUAAGAAUAAAAAAAAUAAAAAACCCAAACAAACCACAAAUGCAGAUAACAUUAGGUGAAGAUAUAGUUUAUGUAUUAUUUAUUUAUAUAUUAUUAUAUUAAAGCAUUUUAAAUGCUUUCCAUAUCAGGUGUGGAUUUCAUUGAAAUGGGAAUAGACUACUGAAUGGCAUUAAGGAACACAGUUCUAUGCAGAAGUUUGGAGUGAAACCACACUGCUGCUAUUUCACUCCCUGUGAGCUGCAUUUUAUCUGAUGUGGUGUUGAUUGUCUUUUCACAUCUUGUGUUAUUAAACUGACAAUUAAACAAAAGUCAGAAAAGCCCAUGAUUCAUAAACUGGUAUGUAUAUUGUAGUAUGUGAAGCGUUUUUCUGGAAAUGUAGGAAAUCAGGGAUAUAAAGCUAAAGUAUCCAUUUAAAUGAGAAAGGAAUAAGUAGAAAUAUUACUCAUUAAAUGCAUUUCAUAAAAGAAAUGUCUCACUAUCCUGUUGUGUGACUCAUGAAGUCACCAUCAACCAACUUGUAACCCGUAAUUAUACAGCAUUUCUCUGCCAGCCUAGGGGUGAAAAAUCCAUAGAUGGAAUUUUAUGAACUCUGAUUCAAGGGCCUGCUAAAGCAUAUUGGACUUUAUGGUCGUGAGUUUGGAAAUAACAUACCAAUUCUCACAACUAAAUAUUUGGAUUUUCAGAUGUGGAUAUUUUCAAGCCAACCUUAGAAACAGCAAGGUCUUCACCUGUUGAUAGUGAGUUGCUUUUAAGCCAGUUUGAUGAUUUCCAAUGUCCAAAAGUAAAUCUAUCAUAGAACAAUUCAGAAAUCCUGUAUCAGAAAGUUAUUGAACAACAGAAUUAUGUGUUUCUUGUGACCAUGAGGUGAUACUAUGCUUAUAAUAAAGAUGUAGUGUAACUACGGGUAUUUUCAUUAUGCACAGGCAUGGCUAAUUUUG